GAACGCAUAUUGCGCUCUUUGGUAUUCCGAAGAGCAUGCUUGUUUGAGUAUCAGUAAACACCUCAAAACUCUUGAUCUUUUUCAAGCGUUUUGGACUUGAGCAAACCCAACGCCUUUUCUUUUAAGAUCUGUUGCGGCGGGUUGCUUGAAAUGCAGGUGCAGCUGGACAAUCUCCUGAGCUAAAAGCAUAUUUUUUUAGUCCCGUCAAACGGAUUAUUACUUUUUGCUGCAGCUAACAUAAAGGGAGUUUUGACCAUUAUGGCUGACUGAUGCAGGAUUUCACAGAGAAAAGGCCGGCAACGGUUUUGUCUCUGUCAAACUCGAUCUCAAAUCAAGUAAGACUACCCGCUGAACUUAAG
rnacentral:misc_RNA from 1 species